rnacentral:misc_RNA from 1 species
CCGAGUGCGGGCCCGCUCCGGGCCCAACCUCCCACCCGUGUCUCUUGCGUACUUUGUUGCUUUGGCGGGCCCACCGGGUCACUCCGGCCGCCGGGGGGCGCUAUGCUCCCGGGCCCGUGCCCGCCAGAGCACCCCUGUGAACCCUGAUGAAGAGAGGCUGUCUGAGUCCCACGAUAAUCGUUA